rnacentral:rRNA from 1 species
GAUGAACGCUGGCGGCGUGCCUAAUACAUGCAAGUCGAGCGAACAGACGAGGAGCUUGCUCCUCUGACGUUAGCGGCGGACGGGUGAGUAACACGUGGAUAACCUACCUAUAAGACUGGGAUAACUUCGGGAAACCGGAGCUAAUACCGGAUAAUAUAUUGAACCGCAUGGUUCAAUAGUGAAAGACGGUUUUGCUGUAAAUUAUAGAUGGAUCCGCGCCGCAUUAGAUAGUUGGUAAGGUAACGGCUUACCAAGGCAACGAUGCGUAGCCGACCUGAGAGGGUGAUCGGCCACACUGGAACUGAGACACGGUCCAGACUCCUACGGGAGGCAGCAGUAGGGAAUCUUCCGCAAUGGGCGAGAGCCUGGCGGAGCAACGCCGCGUGAGUGAUGAAGAUCUUCGGAUCGUAAAACUCUGUUAUUAGGGAAGAACAAAUGUCUAAGUAACUAUGCACGUCUUGACGGUACCUAAUCAAAAAGCCACGGCUAACUACGUG